GUGGCUCACACCUGUAAUCCCAGCACUUUGGGAGGCCGAGGCGGGCGGAUCACCAGGUCAGGAGAUCGAGACCAUCCUGGCUAACAUGGUGAAACCCCGUCUCUUCUAAAAAUACAAAAAAUUAGCCGGGCGUGGUGGCAGGCACCUGUAGUCCCAGCUACUUGGGAGGCUGAGGCAGGAGAAUGGCGUGAACCCGGGAGGCGGAGCUUGCAGUCAGCCAAGAUCGCGCCACUGCAUUCCAGCCUGGGCAACAGAGCGAGACUACGUCUCAAAAACAACAACAAAACAAACAAAAAAAAACAUACACAAAUUAGCCAGGUGUUGUGGUGCCUGCCUGUAAUCCCAGCUACUUGGGAGGCUGAGGUGGGAGAAUUGCUUGAACCCAGGAGGUGGGGGUUGCAGCGCGCUGAGACUGCACCACGGCACUUCAGCCUGGGAGACAGAGCGAGACUCCAUCUCAAAAAAAAAAAAAAGAAAAGAAAAAAAAAAGAAAAUUUGUGGGUUUUCAUGUCAGACAAACUCCACAGGAAAUAAAUAAUAACUUGUGAUAUUUUAAUAAACUUCCAGGCAAGGUCUUUGAGACUGAAUCUUUGAGAAGCUUCUUCUGAGAGCACCAUGUGCCCUCCCAAGGCUGCAUGGCCAUCUGUCAAACUAAGAAACAGUCACCUUUAGCACCCCAUGUCUUCCUCGACCAGGGACACACAAUCCUGACAUGAAACCCCAGCCACAUAUCCCCUCCCAGCUCAAUGUGGGCAGUGACCUGCUCCUCAGUAAGUGUCCCCCCCCCAGCCUCCACGUGUGGCAGACAGACCCCACCCUGUGCCACUGCUCUCCAACCUGAGGGAGGGACAGAGAGGUGCGGCAGCCAGUGAAUCUGAGCAAUAAUAAUUGAUUCCUGGCAGAUGUGUGUCCAGUUCCAGAAGAAUCCUGCCAAAUCUCACUUGUGGCACCCAGGCUGAAGAACAGUGUGUGAUCAUAUGCCUGGCUAAUUUUUUAUUUUGCCAUGUUACCCAGGCUGGUCUCAAACUCCUGGGCUCAGGUAAUCCUCCUACCUCAGACUCCCAAAGUGUUAGGAUUACAGGCAUGAGCCACUGUGCCUGGUUUAUUUUAUUUUAUUUUAUUUUAUUUUUUUUUGAGAUGGAGUCUCGCUCUGUUGCCCAGGCUGGAGUGCAGUGGCAUGAUUCGGCUCACUGCAACCUCCGCCCCUUUAGGUUUAAGCAAUUCUCGUGCCUCAGCCUCCAGAGUAGCCGGGAUUACAGGCGCAUGCCACCACGCCCAGCUAAUUUUUUUGUAUUUUUAGUAGAGACGGGGUUUCACCAUCUUGGCCAGGCUAGUGUUGAACUCCUGACCUCGUGAUCCACCCGCCUUGGCCUCCCAAAGUGCUGGGAUUACAGGCGUGAGCCACCGUGCCCAGCCAACACCUGGCCUAUUUUCUUAUUUCUUUUUCUUUUUUUGAGACGGAGUCUUGCUCUUGUUGCCCAGGCUGGAGUGCAAUGGUGCGAUCUUGGUUCACUGCAACCUCUGCCUCUCAGGUUCAAGCAAUUCUCCUGCUUCAGCCUCCCAAGUAGCUGGGAUUACAGAUGCCUGCCACUGCGCCAGCUAAUUUUUGUACUGUUAGUAGA
rnacentral:lncRNA from 1 species